UACGUAGGGGGCAAGCGUUGUCCGGAUUUAUUGGGCGUAAAGAGCGUGUAGGCGGCCAGGUAGGUCGGUUGUGAAAACUGGAGGCUCAACCUUCAGAGGUCGACCGAAACCAUCUGGCUAGAGUCCGGGAGAGGAGAGUGGAAUUCCUGGUGUAGCGGUGAAAUACGCAGAUAUCAGGAAGAACACCCGUGGCGAAAGCGGCUCUCUGGAACGGUACUGACGCUGUGACGCGAAAGCGUGGGGAGCGAACAGG
rnacentral:rRNA from 1 species